CUCUCCAAGACACCAUUCUUCAUUUUCUGACAAAGAACCAAUCAAAGCCCUGGCCACGCAGGAGUCCAGUCAUGCAGGGAGCGAUGGAACGGCUGCGUUUUCCUCAUGAAGCUCUGACUCAUCUUGAAAAGCGUCCAGAACGGAUCGGGCCUGCCAAUGGGAAGAGGAUGAAGGGGACAGUUGCCCUGGGGGCCAGAGAUUCAAAGGGUCCAGUGCCCGUGGUAGCAGCCAGAUUGUUGCCGGAGCACCAUGCCACAUGGCUCUGGCUGGGGGCGAGGAUGCUGUGGUCAAGGCCAGGUCACUCCAAGAUGUUGGCAGCAUUUUUCUUCCCCCCUUGGAUCCAAGGAGGCACUUGAAAGCAUCAGACGUUAGUGGAAAAUCAACAAUCUGUGAUCCCAGAUGCUGGGUUGUGAACCAUAUUAUUUCUCCCUGAGUUUUCUGGAUUUAUUCAUCCCCCCACUUCUGCAAAAUGUCCAUAUGAAUAAAGACCUGCACUGAUCAUGCACGUUGAUUUCACCAGCUGGUUUGAUAUGGUUCUGCUGGACACUGCCUGCCUCAAAUUCCAGACCUCCCAGUCUUGGGGAGCAGUAAGAGGAGGGGGUGCAGGUCUCUCCAACAAUUCUCAGGACAGUGCCAUGAAGAACAAGGCUCAACAGGUUUCACCCCAUCCGGCUGGCCGGGGCUCAAACAAAUGUCUGGACAUACGGCGGAAUGGAUGCGCUUAGCUUGGAAACGCAUGGGCGUGGCUCGGCUGGAGCUCUCUGAAAUUGUGUGGUCUGCAGUGCGACUCUGCCACCUGCUCUUUCAAGUUGUGCAGCAGUCAGGGGAUAUAAAUCCUCCAGCAGAUAUCACCCCUUGGCAUCAGAGAACAGUGGCCACGGAGUUCCUGUUUCUCUUGAAAACGGGGCAGGGAGGGGGGUGCCAGGAAAAAGGGGAACAGAGGUGCCCUUCAGAAUAAGCAGCUGGACAGAUAUCAAAGCACACUCUGCAGUCCGAUUGCCAACGGAAAGAUUCCUUUGGUCCUAAAUUCACACCGUCCCUGCUGAUUCCAAGCCUGUAAAUCAACCCACGGCAUUGAAAAGGACACGCUCAGGAUAAUUGUAUAUUUAGAAGCCUUUCUCCCGUGUGUCACUAACACCUCUAUGGAUUAUUAAAAUCAGAGGAUGUAAAAAAAAAAAUCUCGCCAAUGACACCUUUACUGGCUAGUCAUUUCCAGCUUGGCCGUCUUCCCCAAAUGAAUCUGGUUUUAUAACAACCAGCCCACUCCGUCUGUGCAACGAGUUAAAAAUAUUUACCCAUCUCCAAAGUUUGCAAAUUUAUAAUGGGUUGAAUUAGCACCCGAAUCGAAACACAUCCAAACUUUGGGACAGUCAAACUCUAGAUCUGAAAGUUGUGGGUUAUGCCUUAAUCCACAAUGGUGACUUACCCUGUUCUCUCAGGCCACGUCUACACUAGGAAAUUAUUUCAAAAUUAUUAAAUUCGACUUAACUCCUGAUGUAACAAAAUCGAACUAGCGUGCCCACUCUACGGGGAAACCUCGAAAUUAGUCUGAGGCAGGCUCUGUGAAUGUGGACGCUCUACCUCAGACUUAGCACCCCAGGAAAUACUGGGGAGUCAUUAGUUCGAAUUACUCUGGGGAGUAGCUAUUUCAAAAUGCAGCACCAGCAUAUCCA